UUGGAGGGCAAGUCUGGUGCCAGCAGCCGCGGUAAUUCCAGCUCCAAUUGCGUAUAUUAAAGUUGCUGCAGUUAAAAAGCUCGUAGUUGAAUUUCGGGACCAUCAUGUCGGUCGUGCCUCGGUACGUACUGGCAUUGUUGGUUUCUCCCUUCUGACGAACCAUGAUGUCAUUUAUUUGGUGUUGUGGGGAAUCAGGACUGUUACUUUGAAAAAAUUAGAGUGUUUAAAGCAGGCUCACGCUUGAAUACAUUAGCAUGGAAUAAUGAAAUAGGACGUUUGAUUCUAUUUUGUUGGUUUCUAGGAUCGACGUAAUGAUUAAUAGGGAUAGUUGGGGGCAUUAGUAUUCAAUUGUCAGAGGUGAAAUUCUUGGAUUUAUUGAAGACUAACUACUGCGAAAGCAUUUGCCAAGGAUGUUUUCAUUAAUCAAGAACGAAAGUUAGGGGAUCGAAGACGAUCAGAUACCGUCGUAGUCUUAACCAUAAACUAUGCCGACUAGGGAUCGGAUGAUGUUAAUUUUUUAGUGACUCAUUCGGCGCCUUACGGGAAACA
rnacentral:rRNA from 1 species